GUACAUUUAAACUGAUAUUGAUUUUUUUUUAGGUUGCUAUAAUAAGUUUUUCUGCUGCUCCCGUCCAGAGACGCUUUACAUCGCCGUCAGACCGCCAUUUCUGACGGAGGAACUGAAGCCGUUACAUCGCUUUCUUCAAAGCCACCAGACUUCAUGAACAAAAACACUGUGGCACAUGACAUCCUGGCUGCAUGAGCAAGCCUGUAACACACACAGGGAGGUGUGAGAGCUGUCUUCUGUCAGACAGCCGAGGAGGAUGUUGAAAGGCACAGCUGAGCAGUCUGUUAUUUUACUUUUAGCUUCCUCCUUCAGGGAAUGAGUUAUUGGAUAACUUGAACUUCAACGUUUUAGGAGACAACAUCAGUUCAUGUUUAAUUAAAUAUGACUAGUUUCUUUCCGCUACCCUUUGCACUCUUUGUCCAAAUAGCA